rnacentral:rRNA from 1 species
UAGGGAAUCUUCCACAAUGGACGAAAGUCUGAUGGAGCAACGCCGCGUGAGUGAUGAAGGGUUUCGGCUCGUAAAACUCUGUUGUUGGAGAAGAACAGGUGUGAGAGUAACUGUUCACAUCUUGACGGUAUCCAACCAGAAAGCCACGGCUAACUACGUGCCAGCAGCCGCGGUAAUACGUAGGUGGCAAGCGUUGUCCGGAUUUAUUGGGCGUAAAGCGAGCGCAGGCGGUUUCUUAGGUCUGAUGUGAAAGCCUUCGGCUUAACCGGAGAAGUGCAUCGGAAACCAGGAGACUUGAGUGCAGAAGAGGACAGUGGAACUCCAUGUGUAGCGGUGAAAUGCGUAGAUAUAUGGAAGAACACCAGUGGCGAAGGCGGCUGUCUGGUCUGUAACUGACGCUGAGGCUCGAAAGCAUGGGUAGCGAACAGGAUUAGAUACCCUGGUAGUCCAUGCCGUAAACGAUGAGUGCUAAGUGUUGGAGGGUUUCCGCCCUUCAGUGCUGCAGCUAACGCAUUAAGCACUCCGCCUGGGGGAGUACGACCGCAAGGUUGAAAC